ACGACGCUGGCGGCGUGCCUAAUACAUGCAAGUCGAGCGGACCAAAGGGAGCUUGCUCCUGGAGGUUAGCGGCGAACGGGUGAGUAACACGUGGGCAACCUGCCUGUAAGACUGGGAUAACAUCGAGAAAUCGGUGCUAAUACCGGAUAAUAAAAAGAACUGCAUGGUUCUUUUUUGAAAGAUGGUUUCGGCUAUCACUUACAGAUGGGCCCGCGGCGCAUUAGCUAGUUGGUGAGGUAACGGCUCACCAAGGCAACGAUGCGUAGCCGACCUGAGAGGGUGAUCGGCCACACUGGGACUGAGACACGGCCCAGACUCCUACGGGAGGCAGCAGUAGGGAAUCUUCCGCAAUGGACGAAAGUCUGACGGAGCAACGCCGCGUGAGUGAUGAAGGUUUUCGGAUCGUAAAACUCUGUUGUUAGGGAAGAACAAGUGCCGUUCGAAAGGGCGGCACCUUGACGGUACCUAACGAGAAAGCCACGGCUAACUACGUG
rnacentral:rRNA from 1 species